rnacentral:rRNA from 1 species
UCAAGAGAACGUGAAAUCGUUGAAGUGGAACCGGAGAGAGUUGACGUAGUAUGGUGGAUAAGUAUUGCAAGAAUCGCUUCAAACAAUGAAUGUGAUCGAGUAAUAUGUACGUCACCAAAGACUGCGCUGACAGCAUCGACUACACGCUCUGAACUGUGUUGACAUGUUGCCUAUUCUAGUAUAUAGAAUGGUGUCUUGUGUUACGUGGUGAAGUUUGUUGUUAUGUUGUUGAUGUUGAUAAUUAUGAUUAUACACCAAGUAUAAUUAUGUCAGUGUAAAAGUCAACCACCUCUCCGACCCGUCUUGAAACACGGACCGAGGAGUGUAACUUGUACGCGAGUCAUUGGGUGGAAAAACCUUAAGGCGAAACGAAAGUGAAGGCACGGUUAACCGGCUGACAUGGGAAACGUGCGGUAUUGUUAGCGAGACGUUACACCAUGGCCCUGUCUUGUCUGCAUGCAGAUGGGCAGCGGUAGAGCGUACAGGUUGCGACCCGAAAGAUGGUGAACUAUGCCUGAGCAGGACGAAGUCAGAGGAAACUCUGGUGGAAGUCCGUAUCGGUUCUGACGUGCAAAUCGAUCGAUAGACU